UGUUUUUUUGACGCAGUUGGAAAAGGAACAAUUAACUCUGGCCAUUGUAGUCUAAGUAAUUACUGAUUACCCCCUACCUUCUCAGAAAAAUGAUGCAGAAUGGGAAGUAAAGCCACACUGUGACCUGUGGGCGGUUUCCAGUGUUCGUGGCUCACAAAUGCUGUACCCUGGAUCCGCUUACUCCCGUGUCGUCCCCAGCCGGAUGAUGGACGACGUGGCGCUUGAUUCCAGAGAAGGGAGCCCGAGGCUCUUACCGCAUCACUGCGCUAAUGGACCCUGAACUUGUUUAAGAGAGAGCAAUUAAUUUUUAAGCCAGCUUGGCCGCAGAAGCUUCCAGAGCUGACUUUGCUUUGUGUUCUAGAAGACACAACCCUCACAUAUCUCUCCUUGGUUCCUCCUUGAAAGGGCAAACGCAUACAGAGCUGAAGGAAAGCAGGGAAUGUAGGUACCGUGGACUUGUGGGCACUAGUGUUAAAGAACCCACCUGCCAAUGCAGGAGACAUAAGAGAUGCAAGUUUCAUCCCUGGGUUGGGAAGAUCCCCUGGAGUAAGAAAUGACAACGCACUCCAGUAUUCUUGCCUGGAGAAUCCCAUGAGCAGAGGAGACUGGUAGGCUGUAGUCCAUAGGGUCACAAAGAGUUGGACACAAUUGAAGCAACUGAACAUACAUGAAUGCAUAGGAAUCAUCUCAAAAC
ensembl:lncRNA